GAGAGUACAGUCUAACGUCAGACACACUCCCGGCCCACAAGGAGCUCACAGUCUAGAGAGGAGCUCACCGUCUACAGCGCUUGUGCACUUUAAUCCUUUCUUUGACACUCACGUGUGUGUAUACGUUUCUGUUUAUAUAAAAACUUUAUAUUUCUCUGUCCACUCAUUGUUUGUUCAGCUGUUUCAUCUUUAUCCGUUCGCUCUGCUUUCUGGCUUAACCUUUCCUGGCCAUCAUUGUAAAUGAUAUUUAUUAUGUGAAUCAUAUCUGCGUGUAAUAUAAAUAUAUCCACAAAUAAUUUUAGUCUCUCCCCUUAAAUUGUACACCCCUCGAGGGCAGGAAAUUCGUGCCUUGCUCCUGUAGCACAUCCAAGUGCUUAGUACAGUACCCAGCACUCAGAAGAUGCUUAGUAAAUGUCAUCGGUUGAUUGUGCUCUAGAGAGAUUUUCUCCCUAGCCCUCCGACUCCUCGCUACCCUCCCGAGAUUGGUAGGAGUUGCACAGUUUUUAUUUUGUGGAUCGGAGGUGUAAGCUCGUUCCGGGCAGGGAACACGUCUACCAACUCUGUUGGCUUGUGCUCUCCCAACUACACUGCCCUGCACACAGCAAGUGCUCAAUAAAUACGAUGGAUCGAUUGAUCGCUCGAGUGCCCAAAUGUUGCUCAGAAGUCCCUGUCAGACAGAGAGGAGAACUCAGGUGUUUGUCCCAGAGAAGUCACAGGUACCUGUGGUUGGCUAGCCUACCUAUCUAAUAGUAAGAGCAGCCUAUUUCAUGAAAGGUGCCACAUUCUGGAAUAGAUUAUUUCUCAGAGGACAGGUUGGAGAGUCAGAAUGGGUGUUCUGGUAUGAAUUAUUUGAAAUUGCUGCAGCUGAACUCGACUUCACACAGAUCCGGGAGGGGAACACCGGGAGCCGAGUGGCAGCCCCGGGAAGGUGACGGGGGUCGGGACAUAAUAAGCACGGUGGCCUACGGCAUUGUUGCCUUAUUUCAGGGUGGGAUUUACUCCUCUCGCAGCGCAGCGAUGGGGACGUCCCAGAAAGCCGAGGGUGGUGUCCCCGUGUCUGGUUCAAGAGCUCCUGGGAGUUAGAUCUUUUCUCUGGCUUCCUCCUCACCCCCACCACCCAGUCGUGCAUCUCUAGCAACUUCCCAACCUGCUGCCCUCGCUCCAGGGACUUGGCAACUCUGCCGAACCUGACUUUUCAAGCGCAGCAGAGGCCUCCGCUCUGGCCUCAAACCAGAUCCAAUCCGAUGUCUUUCGACUGGAAGCUCCACGUGGAAAGAGGACGGUCAGUGAUUCGUGGAGGUCUGCGGUCAGUGCAGGGGAGUCCCCAGCAGCAAUCGAGUACAAAAUUCUAGCAUCCGUCGUGACUUCGAGGAGAAGGCCGUCUAUCCCUUCUUGACCUGCUUUGCGUUCCUCAGCGUGAAAUGUGUCUGGUUGACUCUAUGGAACCAGACACAGACCUAACCUAAGAUUUACAGGAUGUGUUACACAACCUUUACCCAAAGGGACAUUUUAGAGUCUCAUCCCCAAGAUCCCCACAUUUUCUGAAUUUUUCUGAAGUUGAAGUAUCUUUUUCAUUACUUUUCUGUGAUCCUUUGUUGAUUCAUCUUCUGUAUCAAUCUUCUUUUCCACCUCCCUAAAUUUUGUGAGUGAAGAUCAAAGACAAAAAUAACCCGAACCGGUGAUAAAGAUGUGAGAUAUUUUAGGCAUUUGAAGGAAACUCAUUGAUAAUUUCCAUGGUUUGUCUAAUAACUCAGCCAUUAAGGACUAUAAAUCAUACAACACCUUAGCUUGUGAAAAAAGGGUGUCUGUCAGCAGAAAUUAGUUUUUGGCUCUCUAGGGUUCUGAAUACUGCUUGCCUUGAAAUUUGCUUUGAAAUAAAAAAAUGGCAGCCCGA